rnacentral:rRNA from 1 species
AACGAACGCUGGCGGCAUGCCUAACACAUGCAAGUCGAACGAGACCUUCGGGUCUAGUGGCGCACGGGUGCGUAACGCGUGGGAACCUGCCCUUAGGUUCGGAAUAACUCCCCGAAAGGGGUGCUAAUACCGGAUAAUGUCUUCGGACCAAAGAUUUAUCGCCUUUGGAUGGGCCCGCGUUGGAUUAGCUAGUUGGUAGGGUAAAAGCCUACCAAGGCGACGAUCCAUAGCUGGUCUGAGAGGAUGACCAGCCACACUGGGACUGAGACACGGCCCAGACUCCUACGGGAGGCAGCAGUGGGUAAUAUUGGACAAUGGGCGAAAGCCUGAUACAGCAAUGCCGCGUGAGUGAUGAAGGGCUUAGGGUUGUAAAGCUCUUUUACCCGGGAUGAUAAUGACAGUACCGGGAGAAUAAGCUCCGGCUAACUCCGUG